rnacentral:rRNA from 1 species
UCUGGUUGAUUCUGCCAGUAGUCAUAUGCUUGUUUCAAGGACUAAGCCAUGCAUGCCUCAGAAUAACUGCUAUGCAGGAGUCUGCGCAUGGCUCAUUACAUCAGACGCAAUCUGCCGCAAAAAUUUUGCGGUCUCCGCAACAAUGGAUAACUUGGCGAAACGCCAAGCUAAUACAUGAAUCUCUAUGGGCGUCCUCCGUUCACGCGGCUGCUUUCGGGUAGUCGUAGUGAGGUGCCUUGCGAAUGAAUGAAAUUAAAACCAAUGCCCUUCACGGGGCAGCAACACCCAGACGUGUUGACUCAAUUCAUUCCGUGCGAAAGCCGGUUCUCCGGCGCAUUUUGAUGAACAACUGCCCUAUCAGCCAGUGAUGGCCGUGUAGUGGACUGCCAUGGCGUUGACGGGAGCGGGGGAUUAGGGUUCGAUUCCGGAGAGGGAGCCUGAGAAAUGGCUACCACUUCUACGGAGGGCAGCAGGCGCGUAAAUUGCCCAAUGACAAAAAAUGUUGAGGCAGCGAAAAGAAAUAGGUCUCCUAAACGUCUCUACGGCGUUUGGGAGUUGCAAUGGGGGAUAUUUAAAGCCAUCCAAUAUCGAGUAACAAUUGGAGGACAAGUCUGGUGCCAGCACCCGCGGUAAUUCCAGCUCCAAGAGCGUAUAUUAACGCUGUUGCUGUUAAAGGGUUCGUAGUUGAACUGAGGGCUGACAAGGAGACGGAUUCGUCCCAUCCACCGGAUCGGUGACCUUCGCUCUUGCAGCUCGUGAACGUCAGAAACAAACAUCGCGGGAUUGUUUCCCUUCAACCACGCAUACAAUGUAUGUAGGAGGGCGCCCGUGUGUCUUACUGUGACUAAAAAAGCGCGACCAAAGCAGUCGUUCGACCUGAAUUUGAAAGCGUGGGAUAACAAAGCUGGCCUGCGGGUUACCGUUUCGGCUUUUGUUGGUUUUAAAGAUCUGUGGGAGAUUACGGUCCUUGCAACGACAAGCGGUAUGGGGUUCGUCCCCUCGCCUCCGCUUUCGGGCGGCUUGCAAGACCCUGAAUGAAGGAGGGUUGUUCGGGGGAGAACGUACUUGGGCGUGAGAGGUGAAAUUCUUAGACCGCCCAAAGACGAACUACAGCGAAGGCAUUCUCCAAGGAUACCUUCCUCAAUCAAGAACCAAAGUGUGGAGAUCGAAGAUGAUUAGAGACCAUUGUAGUCCACACCACAAACGGUGACCCCCACGAAUUGGGGAGUUUUUGGCGGCGGGUGGCGUAGCCCUUACGGGUUGCGUCCAUCCCCCCAAAAAAGAAUACAAUUUACGUGCAUAUUCCUUUGGCUUCACGGCUGAUUACGGGAAUAUCCUCAGCACGUUCUUUUUCUUCACGCGAAAGCUCGAGGUUACAGUCUCAGGGGGGAGUACGUUCGCAAGAGCG